AAUUGCCUGUCUAAGGAGAUAGCUUGUUUUGAAAGCAGGGGGAAGGUGUUCGAUUCACUUGGCAAUUU
rnacentral:tRNA from 1 species